UACGGGGGGGGCAAGCGUUGUUCGGAAUUACUGGGCGUAAAGGGCGCGUAGGCGGGCUAUCAAGUCAGGGGUGAAAGCCCACGGCUCAACCGUGGAAGUGCCUUUGAUACUGGUAGUCUGGAGGGAGGUAGGGGCGUGCGGAACUUCCGGUGGAGCGGUGAAAUGCGUAGAUAUCGGAAGGAACACCGGUGGCGAAAGCGGCACGCUGGACCUCUUCUGACGCUGAGGCGCGAAAGCCAGGGGAGCAAACGGG
rnacentral:rRNA from 1 species